rnacentral:sRNA from 1 species
AGAUCCUUCUACUCAUACGACGUGGACACCGACAAGUGCAUAAAUCCAGAAGCUUCUGUGCUCUACAAAGAGCACCGUGACAAAUUUCGAGAAAUCGCCAAAGAAUGUGUGGAGGCGAGCCGCUCGAUGGUUUAUGAUGAGCUCGCCGAGCAGGAGCACGACCCUAAUGGAAUACGGUAAGAGAUUUAGUGAGAAAAUUCGAAAUUUUUACAGAAAGUAUUGCGAAAUACCUGGAAAAUCUGAAAUUUCAGAAGUUUAAGCAGAAAAUUUCAGAUUUUCAAUUAAAUUUUUGAAUUCAGCAGCAAUUUUCACCCCUAACUCGUGUUUUUCACUGCUCAAAUCUCAAAAUUUAAAGUUUUAGUGUUUGCACAGAAUUGGGGCUACCGUAAUGCCUAAAUUUUUCCAAAAAUUUCAAAUUAAGCCAAAUCUUACAAAAAACCGCUCCCAGUGGUAAUUUUACGUGCUGAAACCGAAUUUUCAUAUAAAAAAAUUCAGAAAAACUAAAAAUUUUCCAGACUCCUGCCCUGGGACGCCCUUACGCAUAAGGCGGCUCGCGAGAAAAUGCUCCAAAUCGGUGAUAACUCGAGAUUUCAAGGCACCGCUGCAGAUUUUCGUCGGGAACAUAUUUUUAGUAAGAUGGGCUUGCAAGUGUCUGAAAUUGUCGGGAAAAGCUAUCCGAACAGCUAUUCCUGGUUUGACCCGGCCGAGAUGACUGUGAUCACCAAGUAUGAUGACGUGGAUUUGAGUCAGG